ACGCACGCUGGCGGCGUGCCUAACACCUGCAAGUCGAACGAGAAAGGGGCUUCGGCUCCGAGUAAAGUGGCGCACGGGUGAGUAACACGUGGGUAACCUGCCUCUAAGAUUGGGAUAACUCGUCGAAAGAUGAGCUAAUACCGAAUAAGACCACAGUUCCCGCGGGAACAGGGGUCAAAGGUAGCCUCUGCUUGCAAGCUAUCACUUAGAGAUGGGCCUGCGCACCAUUAGCUAGUUGGUAGGGUAACGGCCUACCAAGGCAAAGAUGGUUAGCUGGUCUGAGAGGAUGAUCAGCCACACUGGAACUGAGACACGGUCCAGACUCCUACGGGAGGCAGCAGUGGGGAAUAUUGCGCAAUGGGCGAAAGCUUGACGCAGCAACGCCGCGUGAGUGAUGAAGGCCUUCGGGCCGUAAAGCUCUGUCGGGAGGAACGAAUGCUCCUGAGGUUAACAGCCUCGGGAGGUGACGGUACCUUCAAAGGAAGCACCGGCUAACUCUGUG
rnacentral:rRNA from 1 species